rnacentral:rRNA from 1 species
UACGGAGGGUGCAAGCGUUAUCCGGAUUCACUGGGGUUAAAGGGUGCGUAGGUGGGUCUGUAAGUCAGUGGUGAAAUCUCCGGGCUUAACCCGGAAACUGCCAUUGAUACUAUAGGUCUUGAAUUUUCUGGAGGUCAGCGGAAUAUGUCAUGUAGCGGUGAAAUGCUUAGAUAUGACAUAGAACACCAAUUGCGAAGGCAGCUGGCUACAGGAACAUUGACACUGAGGCACGAAAGCGUGGGGAUCAAACAGG